rnacentral:rRNA from 1 species
GCAUAUCAAUAAGCGGAGGAAAAGAAAAUAACAAUGAUUCCCCUAGUAACUGCGAGUGAAGAGGGACAAGCUCAAAUUUUAAAUCCGUCGGGUUACACCUGACCGAGUUGUAAUUUGAAGAGGCGUUUUCCGCGUUUUUGAUCAGUCCAAGUCCUUUGGGAUAGGGCAUCAUGGAGGGUGAGAAUCCCGUUCGGCUGAUCAGAUUCGCUUUACGAUACGUCAUCUAAGAGUCAAGUUGUUUGGGAAUGCAGCUUAAAAUGGGAGGUAAAUUUCUCCUAAGGCUAAAUAACGGCGAGAGACCGAUAGCGAACAAGUACCGUGAGGGAAAGAUGAAAAGAACUUUGAAAAGAGAGUUAAACAGUACGUGAAAUUGUUGAAAGGGAAACGAUUGAAGCCAGUCGUACCGGUGGGUAAUCAGCCUUUCGGCGUGAUUAUGUGGAGCGUGAGGAGUUAAACGCCCUCAUGGCCUGCAUAUUCGUGUUCUUUGGGUGUACUUACCCGCAUGGUAGGUUAACAUCAAUUUCGAACGUCAUAAAAUGGUUGGAGGAAUGUAGCUUCGAUCCCAUAUUGAAGUGUUAUAGACUCCGGCAGAUGUGAUGAUCGGGAUUGAGGAUUGCAACGGAUACCCUUCGGGGCUACCCGUCUGAUCUCUGAAAGUUGCUCUGGUGCCGAAAGCUCGCUUACGGUCAUCAAAGUUGACGUUCAACAGGUUAGAACGGGAUAAAUUCGUUAAAGGAUGUUGACGUAAUGGCUUUAAACGAC